GGGAAUGGAGCUUAGUGGUAGAGUGCUUGCCUAGCAUGCAUGAAGUCCUAGGUUCGAUUCCUCAGUACCA
rnacentral:tRNA from 1 species